rnacentral:lncRNA from 1 species
GUAGGAAUCUAAAGAAGAGGAAGCUUUGGGAGAUAAAUAUAGCAGUUCAAUUUGAGCAUAUUAAGUGUGUGAUGCCUGCUAGAUAUUAUUGAAGACGGUGAGUGGUCAAUUGGAUAUAUAGCCUGGAGUUCAGGGCAAGUUCUAAACUGAGGAUAUAAUCUUGGAGGACAGCAGCACAUAAAAGACAACAGUGACUCUGUGACAUAUUCAAUUUUCCAAGUUGGCCACAACAAUUUCCCCUAUCCGACAAGAUUUUCUGCAAAGUGAUGUUGUAGCAAUCCACCAUGAGAUGAAGCCCGUCAUUGUGGGUUCUGUGUCUGCUUUGACCAACAAUAUUCAGUAGAGGUGACACUGUGCAAGUUGCAAGCAUAGCCCUUAGCUGGACUGGCAGUGUGCAUGUCCUGCCUCUUGGAACACUUGCUCUUGGGAAGUUCUAGCUCAGAACCCAGACUCCAUAUUAUGAGGAACUCAAGCUUAUCUAAGCAUACCAUUCAACAGCCCCAGUUCAGUGGCCACAACAGCCAGCAUCAACUGCCAGCAGGCCCUGGUACGGCAGCGGUGACCAAGACAGAGGACCUGCCCUGAUGGUAAUUAUAUUCCAGAAUGAAAGCGGAACAAUGAGCAAGUACAAGAAAGUAUGUGAUUUGUCAGAUGGUGAUAUGUGCUAUGGAGACAGAGUAAAGCCGAGUCAGGCAGAAGGGGAGGAAAAUCAUUACUGUUAUUAUUACAAUGUAUGUUUACAGGUUCGCCCAGGCUAUCCAAAGCAACUCCGGUGCCCAGCUAAUGGUCCCCCAAGUAGUCUUAUGGAUAUUCCUAGAUGUUAUAUUAAGGGCUGGCUACAAUCCUGCAUUGGUGGCCUUAGAUCAGGCCAUGGCACAUUUUUAGUAACUCCCAUCCAGGCCCGCUUGGUGCCAUGCAGACUCCUCUGUGAUGUCCCUCUCACUCCCAUCUUGUACCUGAUCAUCAAAGAAGCCUCUGAUGCCCUGACUGCAACGAGAAUUUUAAGCAAGUAGCACGAUUGGUCUUCUUGAACAGGAGAUGAGGAGGAUAAUUUCGUGGGAGCAACAAGAAGACAGACCAUGGGACAAGAGUCCUCUACAGAUAUCGAUCCUGAGAGCACUGCCCAAUUCUUCUCCUGCACUUUAAUCUCCAUCGCAGAGAAUCUGACCUAGAAGUGUGAUUAAGCAUGCAGACUGUAGACCCACCUGCCUGGGUCCAAAUUCAGCUCUGCCCUGAUUAUCUGCAUGACCUUGGGUAAGUCACUUAACCAGUGGGUGUCUCUGUUUCUUCAUCUGCUGCAUGGAGAGAUAACACCUAUCACAUCAGGUUGUCAUGAAAAUUAAGUGAGAUAUAAGUUAAGAAGUUAGAACACUGUCUGCUACACAUUAAGCACUAUGGAUGUGUUAUUAUUAUUAUUGUUUCAGUUAUUAAGAUUUCUCACCCAGACAUUAAGAGGCUGGGGUCACUGUCAAGCCCCUCUCUAUCCAGCACCUAUCAGAGAAGCUUGUCCUUUGAACUCAGGAGAUAGACUUUUUCCAGUGCACCAUCCAGAGGGGUUUCCAUAGCAACUACUGCCACUUCAAAGAUUCCAGAAUGUCUCCCUUGUACAUCCAACUUCCUCCCUCCCUGUGUGCCUUUCAGGUUUAUUUUAAAUGCAAAGUAUAACAAGAUGAGAUAUAACAUCAAUUUCCUAUAUUCAAAAGAUUGAGACCGUAAGCCCUCCAGCAAGCUGUCCCAGGCUUGUUCUCAGAUAAGUGACUGGAGCCCAAAGGAGAUGAAGUAGUAACAUGUGCAAGAACUUCCUGAAGCUUCUGCUUACCUCACUGAGGCCUCAAGUCACACGGCCAAGUCCAGAGUCAUGUGAGAAGGAGUAUCAAAGUGCAUGAGCACAAAGAGCUUCCUGGGUACGGACAAGCAAUGGCAAUGGUGGAGGCAACAAUGGUGGUGAUAGCGGAAGCUACUCCUUGAUCGUUCUUGAAUAGGAGUUUGCUUAUCUCUUCUCCGUCUUCCUGAAGAUGAGCAGCAUCUGUAGAGGUGCCAGUGCAGAAAACCACCCACCUACAGCCCUUACUCUUCAAAUAUGGAAGGUUUGAGAUGUGCUCUCAGACUCCACUCAAACUCAGUCACGUGCAGUGCACUUCAGGAAGAUGACUUCAUGUUUACUUACUCAUCACUUGAUUCAGCAGAUAUUGGUUGAGUCACAUGUUGACCCAAAUCUUCUUUCAAUGUGAAGCAUAUUGUAUUUAUUUGUAAAUAAUUCUUGACUUUUAAAGUUUAUAAUGUGACAUUGAUAUUCUGAUACAUGAUGCUUUCUUGUCUAAUUUUGUUUCUUUUUUAUUUCAUUGAUUUGGAGAGGGUGUAGCUGGAAACAUGAUUGUGUUAUUCUUACAAUAUGCUUAUGAAAAGUCUGCAGCUGUUGAAAUCACCCUAGAGAAAAGCUUAUAUUAUAAGAGGAACAAUACCAAGGAGAGAGAAAUAAA